CUCUGUCUUUUAAAAACAUGAAACUACGAAUAAUAAUAUAUCAUUACCAUAGUUGUACAUAAGAGUUUUGUAAAACAUAUAUACAGGCAAGAGGAAUUUUUCUGUGUGCAAUGUGUACCAAAAGUGGAAUCCUUAUUGGUGCACAUGACCAAUAAAAAAAUGCCAUAUAUACCAUAGCCAUUUGAAAAAUCCACUUCAGCUUUUUUAUAUUGCUAACCCCGUUAACCCUCCGAUAUCCCUUUUAUAUAUUUUUUUUAUUUUUUAUUUCUUUUUGCUCUUCUUCCACCUUCAUUUAGCUCCACGUCAUUUUUUCUGCUCAGAAAAAUAGAAAUCCUGUGUCUUUUGUUAUCAGAUCUUCACGUUAUUCCCUCCAUAUUUGAUCUUUUGUCGUCCACACCAAUCACUAGAUCUACAUCAUCCUAGGCGAAGUCUUAAUUUCCUCUACUUAGGGUUUUCAAUUUCUACCCCUUUUUCAUUGAUAUUCCAAUCUCUUUGUCAACAUAUAGAAAUCCUAUACUAUGGUAUCAUUUUCAAGUUCUACAUUCUACAUUCUCAAAGGCGGCUUUGACGCCAUUACCACCAUGGCCGAAGAAACCAAGAACUUCACCCGCAACAUCCCGUCGGCCUUGUGGGCUCCAUGACCCUCACCACCCUCCUCUACUGCCUUCUCGUUGUCACCCUCUGCCUCAUGAAGCCCUUCCACCAGAUCGACGCCAAAUCAGUUUCGGAGAUGUCAAUGGAUUCUUCCUCUGCAGCUUCUUGGAAAACCAUCAGCAAAAAUUUUUCUGCAGAUUCCUAAACAUUUGAACAUGCACAAGUUUGAUUUCUAAACCCACCUUGUGAAGCUCAAGCACUACUCUUGUUGAAGCAUGUCACUGCCAAAAAGUUUUCUCCAAGUGGUAAGCCAAAGUCUUUUAAUCUGCUAGAUGCUGCCCAAUCAAUUAAUUUGGUUCAUGUUGUUUCUUGUUAGGAAUUCUAGGUGUACAAUUUUAGAGUCUUUGUAAUGGAUUUUUUUCGUGGCUAUCUUUCUAAUGUAAUGUUACAAAAAGAUGAAAAAUUUGGUAUAUUGGUUCCUGAUUUUGAAACUUUAGUAUAUGUUUUUGAGUCUCUGAGGACUUUUAGUGGAUGUUUAGAAUGAAACGUUUUACAAAGAAUGAAAACCAAACCUGUUAUACUCUGUUUUUGAAUUAUGAAUGUAUGGUUUUCAAUCCUUUUUAUAGA